GCAAGUCGAGCGAACUGAUUAGAAGCUUGCUUCUAUGACGUUAGCGCNNGACGGGUGAGCAACACGUGGGCAACCUGCCUGUAAGACUGGGAUAACUUCGGGAAACCGAAGCUAAUACCGGAUAGGAUCUUCUCCUUCAUGGGAGAUGAUUGAAAGAUGGUUUCGGCUAUCACUUACAGAUGGGCCCGCGGGGCAUUAGCUAGUUGGUGAGGUAACGGCUCACCAAGGCAACGAUGCAUAACCGACCUGAGAGGGUGAUCGGCCACACUGGGACUGAGACACGGNCCAGACUCCUACGGGAGGCAGCAGUAGGGAAUCUUCCGCAAUGGACGAAAGUCUGACGGAGCAACGCCGCGUGAGUGAUGAAGGCUUUCGGGUCGUAAAACUCUGUUGUUAGGGAAGAACAAGUACGAGAGUAACUGCUCGUACCUUGACGGUACCUAACCAGAAAGCCACGGCUAACUACGUGCCAGCAGCCGCGGUAAUACGUANGUGGCAAGCGUUAUCCGGAAUUAUUGGGCGUAAAGCGCGCGCAGGCGGUUUCUUAAGUCUGAUGUGAAAGCCCACGGUUCAACCGUGGAGGGUCAUUGGAAACUGGGGAACUUGAGUGCAGAAGAGACAAGCGGAAUUCCACGUGUAGCGGUGAAAUGCGUANAGAUGUGGAGGAACACCACUGCCGAAGGCGGAUUUUUUGGUCUGGAACUGACGCUGAGGCGCGAAAGCGUGNGGAGCAAACAGGAUUAGAUACCCUGNCAGUCCACGCCCUAAACGAUGAGUGCUAAG
rnacentral:rRNA from 1 species